GAGAGGGAGACGGGAGAGCUUUAAGUUAUUCUUUACGGAAGAACUGGGUGAACCCUUCACAGAAUGUUUGCAAAACACCUGAUGCACAAUGUGGUGUAAACUGUCAGAUUUCUCUUUAGUUUUUUAAUAGUGACCAAAGUGAAUAUUUUUCCAGUGAUUGCUCCAUAAUAUUAUGCUACAAAUGUGUUGUACAUAAAAGAUUGAUAAUAAAAUACAAAAAAAACAUGAAAUAAACAAUAGAAGACAAAUAUGACAAUAGGCAAGAAUGGUUAGCAAACAUUCUGAUCAAACCUUUUUUGUUAGUUUAAAAGGAAUGCAUCAUUGCUUAGUCUUUGUUCUAAAUGAGAUGUCCCAUUAUCUGUAUCUGGGGCAUGAACAAGUUUUCAUGGCUUGAUGGCAUCAGAAGUUUAAGAGCUGGAAGGGACUUUGGUUGUAAAGGUUGGUCUAGCACGGGGUUUCUCAACCUGGGCACCACUGACAAUUUUGCAUUGAUAAUUAUUUGUUGUGGGGGCUGUUCUGUGCAUUGUAGGAUGUAGGCUCUACCCACUAGAUGUCAGUAGUGCAGGGUUCCCCCUACCUGCCUGUUUCCCCCGCCCCCACCACACACAAUGAGAACCACUGAUCUGGGGUUUGCCAAAGUGUACACUCCAUGGAGCACCACUCAUGUUGGAGGGGCUGGGAUACUCCAGGAAAAUAUUCUGUUGUCAAAUAAGUUUGGGAAACCCUUAUUUAGACAACAGCAAAAAAUUGUCAGAGCUUUCAAUGUGAUAUCUAAAGUGAAUUGCCAAGAGGCGAACAUGCAGCAUGUUUCAGCUUAUUUGACAGCAGCCCGUUUUUCAAAGGCAGCUUGCAGGAUGGAACAUACUCCCAUUCCUGUGCUCCAACUCUCAUUUUCCAGGUGAGGAAAUUGAGGUCUAGGGAGGUUACAUGACCAGCUAAAGGCUCUGCAUUACCUAAUUUCAUAAUUGCUGUGUGAGCAUGUACUGCAUGCUAGCUCCUAUGUUAGGCACUGGGGAGGCAAUGGUGAUACCCAGGAUAGGCAGACGGACCCAGUAACUACAACACAAUGUGGUUAGUGCUAGGAGGGAGGCCCUCCAAGAGGCUGAGAGAGCAUCUCAGAAUGGGCACUUCAUUCACAUUGAGUAGAUGAGCUGAGUCCAUGUUGUACAUGUUUUAGCUGAGACAUCUGUGGAGGUAGACCAGUUUGGGAGACCAGGCAGUAGAAUGCCUACAGAGGCCGAUUUUGCAUUUCUGUGUAUAAUAAUUGAGGCAAGGGACUGUAUGAGAGUCCUCCAGGGAUGAGAAGCUUAGGGUAGAACCUUGGGGAAAUCCAUGUUUAAGGGUGCACCGAGGAAGAGCAGCCCCAGAUAGAGACCAAGAAGGACAUAGGAGAAAGUACAGAGCCAGGCAAAGGGUGCAGUCUGAUGCUGCAGAGAGGAAGCCGCAACCUGCAGGGUUGAGGGCCUGGGCUCUGGAGCUGAGCUAGAGUUUGAAUCCUAACUGCCUAGCUUGCAGGUUGUGUGAUAUUUGUCACCUGUUGCAUUACUUUGCAAAGGCUCAAUUUAUAAAAGCGGUAUAAUUGUAAAGCCUACUUCAUCUACUUGUUGUGAAGCCUAGCUAAAGUAUGAGAAGUAUGGAGUACCAUGCUUGGCAUAUAAGCAGUGCUUAGUAAAUAUUCGGUGAUGCUAUCCUUAUUAUUAUCAAAUGACAUGAGGACUCAGAAACAUUCAUGAAUUUGCUUCUUGGAGGUUGUGGGUGACCUUGGCAAAAAUCCAUUUCAGCGGAGGGACAGAUGGUUUGAGAGUGAGUGGGAAGUGAAACAGUAGAGGCUGUGAGUUUAGAAAUUUUCUCAAGGUUAGUUGUGAAUGGGAUUGGGCAGGGGGGUGGUGGUGAUUGCUGCACAAGAGACUUGGAAUUUGAGUGCUGGCUUAAAAGAACGCCACAGGAGAGGCUUGAGAAGUUUAAAUGCUGAGGGUAAGAUGCCAGGAGAGAUGAAGAUGGUGAUGCUAAGCAAGGAGUGAGAGACAACUAGGAAAGCAAGGAGCUUGGGAGGGAGGGGAGGAGGGAAUGGGGCUCAGGGAGGAGGAAAGAAACUGCUCUGCACUAGGACUUGUCUCAGAGCCUAUAGAGGCUACCAGAGUUAAGAUUUGUAGGUUCCUGAAAAUGAGAGUUUAGUGGACCAUUUUGACAUAUUUUUAAAUCCUGAAAGGCAAGAAAAGAGGUUUCCCGAAAAGACUUCUGGGAAGGCGGGCAGGAAUCAGAGCUUCCUGGUGAAGUUAUCAGACACUCUGGGAGUUGGCUUGGAAUGCAUACUCAACUCACUUUGCAAUCAUUCUUAACUUUUAGAGAAAGCCUCCCAAAUCUAACUUUAUUGAACAGCAGCCAUUGGCUCUCUUCCUGAUUUCUCUGUGCACAGAUAGAACUUCCAGCAUCUCCUCCUUUUCUGCUGACCGUUGAUGUGCUGUUUUUCUGACCAGGAAUAGCAAACUUUCCUCUUUCCCAGUCUCCUGUACUGGGCAGGAGGAUUUCUCACCAUCUCCAAAUCUUGGAGGCCUGGGGAAGUUGAGUCCUUCUGAAACUUGAAGAAAGGAGAAUGCUCUCUGUAUCCUGACAUAGGAACUAUUUGAGUAUGAAGAAGGUGCUGCAUGCAUACAUUCAAAGGAACUAGUGAAUAGCUGGCAUGCAUUUUGAUACUGUGCUAAUUGGUAGCCCUGAGGUCUUUGGGCUUUGUUUAUAGACUUCUCCCAAGACCCUCCAAGUAAGGCCUGCAUGUUACUUCUCACAGGCUCUCAGAGAGUCUUGGGAAGACAGAGGCCUCUCUUUUAGACAUGGAGAAGUAUCGUGGGAGGUGAGUUGCCCAAGGACACACAAGACUCCUGUGACUUUCAAGUUAGAGUGGUAUUGUGCAGCCAGAAUUCGCCUGGCGUGGCUUCUGUCUCAGAACCUAGAACAGUGCUCUUCUGCAGUAAAGAUUCCUAGUUUAUUCCCUUUUCUCUUAGUAUAAAAAAUUUAAUGUGGGUUAGAGUAUGUUUUUUAUUAUUUCUCCAUUUAACUUGAGAAAGCAACCUCAUGGGUUCAUAUUUUUGUUUCCCUCAUUUUAAAGACAGGCGAGAUUUCACGAGUAGAUGAAAGAACACCCAAAUUUGAGGGAGCGUUCCAAGUUCAUAAAUACUUGUGGCUGAGAGAAAACAAUGGCCCUCCCUCAAAUACUGCAGGGAAGAACCAGUAUUGGGAACAGCUGUGUUUGAAAGUCUCCUAAUUGUUAUUUAUUCUAUCUGUAGAUCUAUAGUCCAACCAAUGUAUGAAUAGGACCUUUGCUGAUUAUAUCUCUGUUUUGAUCAGAACUGCUAUAAAUGAAAGAGUUGUAGUGUACUGUUUUCUUAAACUCCUAGGGUUUUACCACAAAUCAGAGUUGUUUCUUGUGAUACAGCCUUCUUCAGCCUCUGUUCGUCUCUAAGAAAUUGAACCUAGAGUAGUAAACAAGUGAUACUUCUGUAAACUCCCUCAGUUCUGUGAACCCCAUCAUCCCUCCUAAUCUCCAGUCGCUUGUUUUCUUAUGCUUUGUGGAGCUCUCCUACAAGCACCUGAACUCCAGCAUGUCCCAAAUGUUAUUCAUGAUUUUCUCCUUAAGUCUGCUGCUCCUGCAUGAGUUCCUAUGUCCAUUAAUGACAUUCUUUAUGACACAAGCAAGAAAUCUUGGCACCAUCUUUAUCUCCCGUUUUGCUAACUCCCGUGUACAUUUGACUACUCCAUUUUCCAAGAUGAUAUUCUAGGCAUGUCAGUCUUCUAUUUUUUCCUCUGUAAAGGCAGGUAGUAGGGUAGGAUCCAUAUCUGUACCUCCAAUGCCUUCUGCUUGGAAGAUAAUGCUUCCUGCUGGCCAGUUCCCAUUCCUCAGCCCAAAUACUACAUCCUUGGCAAGCCAUUCCUCUCUGAACCACUCCUUCCCAGGAAGAUGCAUUCACUUCUUCCUCUGGAUUGCCAUUUAUUUAUUUUUUUAACUCUAAUGCUCAUGAAACUUUGUGGUAAAUUUUUAUUUGAAGGUCUGGCUCUUCUGCUACAUUCUGAGAUCUUUGAGAGUAGGAACCCAGAUUGUACUUAGAUCCGUGUCUGGCACAUAUGUAAGCACAAAAGCUAUUGACUAUAUUUAAGUGACUUGAAUUAGAAAAAGAUGUAUGGAAUAGAAGAGGAACAAUUAAAUGCUUAUUUGUAUUUGAUCUCAUUUUAGUCUUUUUCUCUUCCCAUUUCAUUCUCUCCUCUCCCUUAGAAAAAAAGCACGUAAAUGUUCUGUUCCUAUAAAAACAAUUUAAAUAGAGACUUUCUUUAUCAGCAGACAGAAUAACCUGGUUGCAUUGUCAAUGUUCUGUCUAAAUGAAGUUUAACUAACAACUGUUGCCUUUAAGGGAUAGAAAAGAAAACCUCACAAAUAUUAUUUAUAGAGAACACGCAUUGGUCUUAGAGUCUGAGGGUCCAGGUUCCAGUUCGGUUGCUGCCAUUUAUUACGUGAAUGACCCCAGGCAAGUCUCUUUUUUUAAGGUUCAGUUUUCUCCCUUGCAAUGAGAAUAACACCUCCCUGACAAGGUUAUUUUAAGAACUUGAUGAGAUAUUGGAUAUGAAAGCAUCUUGUAUAGGUAAGACACUAAGUUCUGACAUAGAAUAAACUUAUGAUUGCAUGUUUGUAUCCCUGCAAAAUUCAUACAUUGAGAUAGAAUCCCCAGUGUGAUGAUUUGAGAUAAUUAGGUCAUGAAGGAGGAGCCCUCAUGAAUGGGAUUAGUGCCCUUAUAAGAAGAGGCCAGAGAGCUAGCUCACUGUCUUUCUGCCAUGUGAAGAUAUAAGGAAAAGGUGGCCAUCUGCAGCCUGGAGAGGGCCCUCACCAGAACCCGACCACACUGGCACCCUGAUCUCACACUUCCAGCCUUCAGAACUGUGAGAAACAAAUUUAUGUUGUUUCAAGCUACCAGUCUAUGGUAAUUCGUUAUGGCUGCCAGAAUUAGGAUAGCUCUUAAUUUUUAGUUGAAUCUGAAUUUAUAUGUAUUUCUUAGGCCUGGGUUUGAAAACCAUUCUGCUAUGUGGUUUAGGUAGUAUCAGCUGUUAGCAUACGCAUUGUCUCAAGGACUAACUUUUCAAUAUCUAUCUUUAUUUCAGGUUAGUAACAUCCUUUGUUUGGGAAUAACAUGCAUAUUAUUUCAUCUGAUGUUUUCCUAAGACAAUUAGAUUGAAUUUUUUUCUUCUCACUUAAGCAUUUUGGAGUACCAUUAGUCCUCUUCCAUGUCUUAGAUAAUAUUGAAUUCAGGGUGUACUUUUUAAAAUCUUGGUAGUUAAAUUUAGCAGUUUUGUUUGGAGGUAUUUAUUUUCAUCUGGUAAUAAGACAAGAAGUAAGAUGUUUCAUAAUUACCAUAUUUUGUUUGGGAUUUCUGCUGAAUUUUCUCUCUCUCCAUUGCAGUUCUCUUUUUGGAGAGGGCCUUCUCUCUACAGCCAUAUGCUGGUAGAUAAUGCAUGGUAGCUGAUCAGUGCUAGAAGAUACAGGAGAUCCAGAGCAUAUUACUCCCUUGAACGUAUCUUUUAGCUGCAGGGAAAACAAAUCUAAGGCAUGAAUUACAACUUAUUAGUUGUAGAUGGACUCUGUAGCCCAGUACUGAUUAAGAAGAAACAGCCCCACUCUGUCUUGCCAUGAUGGCUGUUCCAAGUCAAAGGAAAAGGAGAAGUCUGUUGGAGAAGAUUUUCUUUGUUUUUUCCUUCUUCUUCUUUUCUUUAGUUCAUCCAUUCAUUUAUUUUCUAAUAUUAUGGGACACAAAAGCAGAAUUUGUAGUUAGUACUCUUGGCUGUAGAAAUUCGUAGUUUUGCUUUUCCUUUAAGGUUGAUUCCAGCACCACUUUGUGAGAAGAAACUGUCGUAGUUUCACAUUGCCUCUAAGAAAAUGAAACGUACCUAAGUAUUAUUGGACAGCAGGAGUAUUUUACAGUGGUUGCUGCUCAGGAAAUUUGAGUGAAGGACUGCAAAAGAGGAGCAAAGCAGACCCGAGAGAGAAGGCAGCAGUGCUCCCCUGUGACAUGCUCCAUCACCGGGCAGGGAAGACACCGCUGCUACCUCUCCACAGCCUUGUUCAAGAGCACUGGAAAUUGUUGUGCUGGCCGCAUAAGAUUUGCUGUUGCGGCUUUCUAUGGAUGGUUGACCAAUUCAGAUGAAGCACCCACCUGCUGUGGAAAAUCUGGAAAAUCAGCCAAAGUUUGUUUGAAAAACCUUACUUGACUACAUAUUUUAAUGACUCCAAGUUAUACACUUGACUAGAAAUUAGUGGUGUGUGUUUUCCUCGCGUAUGGUUGAAUUUCCCCCUCCCUGUUGCCGAUUUUAAAAAGAUGUUUCUUUUUUAUGAACACUGAGAGUACAAAUCAAACAAAAACCAAAGGAGCCACGUCACGUACUCAGUCUCUAGCAGCAAAUGUUGUACUUGCAUUAAUUUUGGAUAACAGGUUACAGUUUUAAACUGGAUUUUUUUGUAAUGUAACAGAAAUUACCUUAUGAAAAGUUGGUUUGAAAGGUGGCAAUUCACGCGUAAUUUGAUGUUCCAUAUUAAAAUAUACAUGUCUUACAUAGUACUGCUUUCAAGCAUGACUACCUAUAUAAUGCAAUCGUGUUAAAUCAUUGUUACAUGUAUUUUUACUAAUUACUGAACUGGAGUGAAUUAUAAAUCUCUGCCAAAAACAUUGCCUUGCUUAUACUGGGCAAGCAGUUAAUCAUGUUUGGAUCUGUUCUUUAAAAUUUUUGAUGAUUUUAUAAAGCUUUUGGAUAAUUAAAUUAAGAUGAACUACUUCCACAGUGUGUAAAUACCUUGUAAUGCAGUUUUAAAGGGCUAUAAAAUAAUAAUUAAAACUUAGAAUUACCAGCUUCCAAUGAUCAUUUCAAUAAUCAUUGCUGACAGAGGAAGAAGUAGUAUUAUAGAAAACAAGAGUUCGGAAAGAAAUACAAGAAGCCUCAGCCAUCCUCAUUUUCUUUCUGUCCAUCCUUACCACGUUGUAUCUGCAGUGGGAGUUGACUGGAUGGUAAAAGGGGAAAGCCAUAGGCUAAGGGAAGACAGUACACUUAUGGAAGAUUGUGUAUUAACCAUUUUCUUUCCCUAACAGAUUUUGAUUGUCCCUUAUUUAAAUACAUUUCUAUGUGAAACCAGGAAAUAGUAAUCUUUCUUGUUGCAUGUAUAGUGCAAAGGUACCUUGAGAAGCAGUAUGAUAGGAUGGACACCAGGAUGUCAUAGCUGGAAGCCUUCUUGGAAAUGCAGGGAGCACAAAUGUAUUUUGAGCUUCUUUUCCCUGUACCUUUUCUCCUUUUGUUUAUGCCCCACCCAGGCAUGAGUUCUUUAAAUCAAGGAUUUCUAUUCAGUUUACUGUUUUCAUAUUUGUACCUGAAACAGAGAUAGCUAACACUGUUACUCCAAAACUAGAGCGAAAGAAUUCAGAAAUAUGAAGAAAAUUUAUAUAAGUGUUUGAGAGAGGAUAUUAGUUUCAUUUCUGACUUUUAUUCAACUUUAAAAACUUAACAGCUAGCUGUAUAGUUUCCUUGAAUCAUCUGAUCUUGUCUCCAUAUAAAUAUAGAGAUUCCUAGAAAUAUUAUUGUGAAUCCAUGCUGUAUGUUUUGGCUUCCUGAAAAUCAACCAAGGCCCAUACAUGCUGUGUGGAUGUUGAAAGUACAAUUCUCCCUGUAGAUAGCAAAGGGUAAGCGGGUAAUCACACACUCUUUCUUGUCAUAUUUUCUUUUAGGGUGAGAGUCUAGUAGCUGUUGGAAUUUGGAUUAGUAGUCCAAACUACUAGUGUUUAGUCUUCUAGAGUUUAACAGGUCUAUUGAUAUAGAAACAAAUAUAAAUCUUUAGUCUGUGCAUUAUUAUCUUUAAAUGCUUAUUUUAGAAAAAUCUGUUGGUUGAGUUUAUUGGGACAUGGAACUAUGAAAGUCAUGGGUAUGAGCUCUGCUACUAGCACUUAGCUUUGCCAGAUGGUAUGAUUAUAUAGACUGCCUUGAAAGAGGUGGUUUUCAAGGGAGCAGGUUUAAAGGGAGAAUCUUUCAUUCCACAGUUAUUUGUGAAUGUUGUGCUGGACAGACACCUGUAGACAAAGCAGACCACAAACACAUAAAUAAAUGUGAAAACUAUCAGAUAUGUGUGUGCAGUGUAUUAAAAUUGGGUGAAGCAAUAAAAAAGUAGUUAUUUCUAGAAUAAAAUUUAUAAAGAUGGAUUAAGCCUCAGUGGAACAAAAAUGAGAAUAGACUUAUAGAGCCUCUGAAUAUACAAAAAUCCAGGUCUCAUUCUGUUUACACUGCACAAAAUAUUGGGGACAGCUUUUAUUCGGGAGAUCCUUUUCAUGAUUUCCACUCCGUGUUUUCCUACGAAGUAACAUAUUUAGAAAACCUCAGAAAAACGUUUGUUUCUAGGACAGCAUAGAAGGGGAAGAAACGGUCUAUUUUCCUUCCGGGCAUUGGGGGAACAGAGGGAAGACCCAGGCACAUGAGUGGUGGGUGGUACCUGAGGGCUUAGGGUCUAAAGAAGAAGAGUCAUACUAUUUUAAAAAAUCCAUAUUUGAGACAGUGGCAUUCAAAGCCCUAAAUGAGUGGGGUUUGGAGGAGACCAUGGAAAGUAAGAAAAGGACACAUGAAAUGACAGGAAGCCAUGAGAUGUCUGGAUUACCAUCUUGUGUGAAGUUCCUAGGCAGCACCCUCCCUCGUCCAGAUGUCCCUCCCGGCGGGCCAGCACCUCCAUUGAGUUCUGACUCCUGCCCUUCCCCAUUGUCCUUCCUGCCUCUUCUUCAAAAAACUUUCACUAGAAUGACUUUCCUUGCAGCCUCUGAACCUGUUCACUUCUCACAUCCGAAACCAGCCCUUUCUUCCUCUUGUUUAGUUUCCCUCUUGUCCUUUUUAAUCAAAAAAAGUUCAACUCUCUCUCUCCUUAUGUCUCUUUUCCUGUGUUCCCACAACUGUGUAAUCUUGCGUUUGCUUUUGCAAAGGCCACAACUAAGUUCCAUGUUGUAAACUGAGCUAUUUUAAAAUAGACCUUGCAACAGUAGGUACUGGGGGCUAGUGGGUGGAAGAGGGGCGUGGGUUGAAAAACUACCUAUCGGAUACUGUGCUCACUACCUGGGUGACAGGAUCAAUCGUGCACCAAACCUCGGCAACAUGCAAUUUACUCAUGUCACAAAAUGUACUCCCUAAACCUAAAAUAAGAGUUGGAAAAAUUAAAAUAAAAUAAAAUAAAAUAAGUCUUGGCAUCAGAUAGGAUAGAGGUUCAAAUCUUGGCUCUGCUACAAACUGAGUGAUAUCAGGCAAGUUAUUUAACCUGUCUAAACCUCAUAUUAUAAGAUAUGAUAAUAGCUUCUUUUAUUAUAAAGAUCAAAUGUGAUGAGUAUGUGAUACAUCAUAAAUUGUCCAAUGCAUUUAGCGUGGUGCCAGCCCACAGGAAGUGCUUCAUGAGGGAUGGCUGCUGCCCCUACUUCUACUAAACAGUGCUGUUGCAGUUACUACUGCUGGACCUGCUGCUGAUUUUAAUUUUGUAGGCCUGCAGUCCUCUUUAUGCUACGAGCCCUUGGCUUCCACCUCUGUACUCUGUAGGCUUGCUUAUUCUAACCCUGCCUGCAGCUUUCCUCUCCUUCUGACCUCUUUGGCCUUUUCCUACUACUAAGAGAAGGGGGCUCCCAUGGAUUCAGUCCUUUGUCCCCUGUUCUCACCACUUUGCCAUCCAUACUCACAGCUUUAACUCCCUGCUGUAUGCUCAUGACUGUCACAUUUAUCUCUAUUGCCUGCUGACAUCAUUACUGGGAUAUCUCAUGUCUCCUUCACUCAUCACAAGUUAAAAACCCCCAUCACCUCUCAAUUCCACUGUUGCAUUAGCCUCUUGACCAUUCUUUUUUCUUCCAUUUUUGGCUCUUUUUAAACUAAGUUGCCCCAUAGCCAGAGUGAUUUCUGGAAAAGGCCAAUCAGAUGAUUCUCUUUUAAAAACCCUUCAGCCAAGCACCCCACUCCAGCCCCAGCCUCAGCAGCACCAGCUACAGAGUCUCUCCGUGACAGUCACGACGCCCCUGUCUACUUAGCACCCCAUGCAUCGCCUGUCACAGUAUGUGCUGUGAAAAUAUCCAUGCCAGUAAGACAAAUGAGUAUACUGCAUGCUUUUUGCCUCGAAGCCUCAUGAUGUUGACUCUGCCUGGAAUAUCUUUCCUCCUCUCUGCUAAGCUCACUUUGAUUCUUCUCAGCACAAACUUCAUCUUCAUAAUCUUGGCUGGGCUGAGGGCCCCUCCUCUGUUCUCCCAUAGCACCGCAACUAUCUCUCAGCCUGUAAUUGUGACCCAUUUUUUUUAAGUUAAAUAAAACCGAACAGAAUAGACUAGAAGAGAAAAUGCUGUUUUGUACGUUUGUCUGUACUUGUAUAUAGGUGUGGUAUAAGUUUUUUUCAAGGGCACAGUAAAAAAAAAAAAAAGGCUUGGAAAACAGAUUUGUGAUGCUAUACUGAGAUUAUCUGUUCAUGUUACUCCAUGAAUUGUAAACUCCUUAAGAACCAGGACCAUUCUUAUCUUUUUAGCCCUAGUGUUAAGCAAAGCUUUAGUCAAUAAAAACUUGUUAAAUGGAAUCUGCUAAUUCUUGAAAAAGCAAAGGUGAGGAGAAACCAUGAAGUAUGUGAAUUCCUAGGAUGAAAUAAAUGAUUUGUGAAAAAUUACUUCUCUGAGUCUAAGUGAGUUAAUAACUGUGGGCCCCCAGACUGAGCCUCCUUGUCCAGUGGACCAAUAGAACCCUAUGUAGGAAAUCUGGAGUGAGAAUCUGCUGAGGAGAGUGCCUUGUUCUCUUUUGUCACAUGUGUAUGUGCAGAUUCUGCAAUUACAUAGGCGAAAGUGAGCUCUUUUUUAUUUGUUUAGGGAAACCGAGCUCCUACCACAUUAGGCUAUGUGAAUGGCUUUUCCUGCAACCAGGAUGGUGGAGGAAGGAAAGAGUGGCAGGUGAAAGGUUUCCUAUCAACUUCCCAUUACCUUUUCCUGCUGGCAGGCUAGAAAACAAGCCCUGAAAGAGAAGGAGUGUGUCCUUCCCUCCCAGGUGCUCACUGAUGGAUUUUCAGCACCGAAGCACAUGGCAGGAGAUGCAGGAUGCUCCUUUAAGGGGUCACCACAUUUCUUCUGUCCUAGCAGGGAGCCAGACAUGACUCUAUCACGCUUGCCACUUUUCCAUUCUUCUCAUUGUCCUAUUCUCUUUUUCAAAUUUUUAUUUGUUCUUAAUACUUUUAUUGCUUUCUCAUGUUUUCACUGCUACUAUGCCUUUUUCUUCCUCAUUUCAUCCCAUUCCUCCCUUCCACCUCCUUAAAGGCAAAGAAUAAAAGAAACAACUGUAAACAACACUUGUAAAAGAGAAAUUAGUUAUCAAGUGACUUCCACUUAAUUUGGGGACCUCCACUUAAUACAGGAAACAAGUUUUAGUGUCAUAGACCACAUAUCUAAAAAUGAUAGUGUUCCUUAAGGGGGCAUGCCUAACUUAUCUUUAUCCCUGUAGGCAUAGCAUGGUGCUGUGCAUAGAAAAAUGAGCUCAAUAAUUGUUUGUUGUCCAGCUAGAUUGAAUUAAUAAAGAUUAAGUGUGAUGCUACAACUACAUUCUGUUUGACUUGCCCUGAAGCAGUUUCCUUGCUCUCUCUUUCAUGUCCUUAUCUGCCUCUUUCUUUUAAACAUUAUUAUGAGUGCUUUAUUUUAUACUUCUGACACGUUGACAUAAAUGACAGUCUUGACAGAUUUUAUAUUAUUAAAAACACUACUGAAUAAUAUCCUUGUGCUUCUUGAAGUCAGACACUUCAUUUGUGAAAAGUUGAUUCUCUGAGUCUAAAUGAGUUAUUAACUGUGAGAACAAUUAUCCUCUGUACUAACUCUAAAACCCUUCCAUUGACAAAUGGCCUCCUGAGUGUUGCUUUAGGUAUAGUCAAAGCCACCUAACAGGAAUUACCCCAAGAAGACUUGAGUGCCAGCCUGUCCUGAGAGCCCCAAGCUGGGAGGAGUUUGAGCAGCAAAUUAUGAAGGAAAUAGUUUUCAAAGAACUUUCUCUAUUGGCAAUAACAUUAUUAUUUUUCAGAUUUUACAAACAAUGCAUAUUUACUAUAAAAAUCAGACUGCAGAAAGGCUUAUAAAAGAAAGUGAAAAUUACCUACUUUCUUAUGGUCUGUCCUUUUUAGUCUAUAGUCAUCUUUAUUUUUGCAUAUAUACAUAACAUAUGUGUUUUUAAAAGAUUGUUCUAAAAUGUUAUUAUCUGCUUAAAAAAUAUAACAGAUAUCCAUCCAUGUAAUCAGUGUAGCUCUGUAUCAUUGUUUUAAGGGUUGCAUGGUGUUUUAUUGUAAGGUUAUUCCAUAAUUUUUAAGCUACGUUUAGGUUGUUUCUAUUUUUUUAGCAUUAUAAAAUAAUUUUCUAAUUAAGGUCUCUUCUAGGUAGCUUGAUUUGUGCAAAUAACUUAAUCACCCUUUGGAUCCUUGCUUACUUCUGUGAAAGGUGGAGUUGAGCUUGAUGAUCUCUUGGGUAUUAUGUUUAAGGUCACUUUUUAUUGCAUAUGGUUUCAUGCCUUCAACUCAUAGCUUUCCCUGGGAGAAGUGGAAUAGGCAAUGGUUAAGGGCAUGACUGUUGUAAUCACAGUGCAGGGAUCCAAAUUCUCUUUAUUGCACUUACUAGCUGUGUGACCUUGGGAAAAUUGUAUAACCUUAUUGAGCCUCAGCUGCCUGAUCUGUAUAUGGAGAUGAUAAUACUAACAUUAUAAUGAUGUUGUAAGGAUUCAGUGAAGUGUAAUGCACAUAAAGUGCUUAGCAUGAUGCCUUACAUACAUACUAAACACUCAAUACAGGUUAGUCAAUCUUUUUAUUAUUAGGAUUUCCACUUCUAACGUGCCAGAAGCCUACCCAUUUUUCAAUGGGGAGCCAGAUGACUCUCCAUCUUUCCAGGUGGUCAGGCCAAGAACAUUGGAGUCAUCGUUGACACCUGUUACUAGGCUGAACUGUGCCCCCUCAAAA